rnacentral:rRNA from 1 species
CAGCAGCCGCGGUAAUGCGAAGGGGGCUAGCGUUGCUCGGAAUCACUGGGCGUAAAGAGUGCGUAGGCGGGUCUUUAAGUCAGGGGUGAAAUCCUGGAGCUCAACUCCAGAACUGCCUUUGAUACUGAAGAUCUUGAGUUCGGGAGAGGUGAGUGGAACUGCGAGUGUAGAGGUGAAAUUCGUAGAUAUUCGCAAGAACACCAGUGGCGAAGGCGGCUCACUGGCCCGAUACUGACGCUGAGGCACGAAAGCGUGGGGAGCAAACAGGAUUAGAUACCCCCGUAGUCCCUGUCUCUUAUAC